rnacentral:lncRNA from 1 species
AAUUGGUUCAGCCUGGUCCCAUUCAACAUGCAUAUCAUUGGCAUAGGCUUGUUUGUCUAAGGUGGUAGUGGUUCUGCCUGCUUUAAUGUCAUUCUUAUGCCCCUCAGGUCUUUGUCUUGGGGUUCUGUUGGUCACUCCUAUGUGCGCGACUUCUCUAUUCUGAUCUGGGAGUCUGGCUGGGAGCUUGUGGACGCCUGACCUCUCUGGGUUCCUUUAUGAGUCUUUUUCGUUACAUAAAGUGUUAUAUAGGCUAUUGUUGGAGUACCUUUAGAUGAUAGGAUCUGCCUAUCAUCUAAAGGUAUAGUACUAUACCUUUAGAUGAUAUACUAUACCUUUAGAGGUGAGAGAGCCUAUAAUUAUGUGUCAGAUAGCAGCGAAUUGCAGAAAGAACUGGAAUACAUCUACAGUGCAGGCUAUAACCAUGACUAUAGUAGAUGCUUUCUAGAAACUAUUCAUUGUAGAGUAAAAGUAACCCUUAGCCAGUUACAGCAGAACAAAAGUCAAGGACACACAAGUGAGAAUGGUUAUGUGCCGCUACCGUACCAUAUGUCUAAGUCAAGGGUCCUAAGAACAUUAGCCGUAAAAACUGGAAGAAGAUAACAACAAAAAGAGUGCAGACCCUAUAUAACACUUUACAUAGC